rnacentral:tRNA from 1 species
GGCUAGGUAGCUUAGUUGGUAAAGCACUUGUCUAGCGAAUAAGGGUCGUGAGUUCAAAUCUCACCUGAGCUG